rnacentral:lncRNA from 1 species
GGUGGCAAAGCCUGUGGAGUACUCACCUACCUGCUGCAUGAAGGCAGCAUGGAGGGACUGUGGUGGAUUAUCUGCAAAGAUGGCCAAAAUUCUCUCAUCCCUGCAGGCACAUACAAGAUGCCAGAAUCAGUCAAAACUAAGCUCACUGUCCUUGCUAAUAUUCUGCCCCAGAGAAGAACUGAAGCUCAGCUCUUCACCCUACAGAAAGCCUGAAUUUUGUAAAUGUUCUGCUUAGAAUGAGGAAGAAAGAUGAAGAAUGAGGAGGAAGAAGGAAGGAACGAGAGAGAGGUUGUUGCAUGGCAUAAGUAAAGUGACAGUUAUAGGAUACAUGCAACUUUUCAGUGACAAAGAUCUGUGCAGCAUCGACAGUACUGCCUAAUGAGGUUUCACCAUAAUGAAGUAUCACAACCAGUUUACAGACCAGAAAACUGAGACACAGGAAGGGGUGGUGACUUGAGCAAGGUGCAUCAGCUGGAAAUUGAAGUAUACAGAAUGCUUAUUUGGUCUACUCAGUAUCAUCCUAAAUGUAUGUACCAAUGCUUAGGAGUUUGCAGUUCACCCGCAAACCUCAGCGAUCCAAGCUCCCCUGGAUGACCAUCACUCACCAAGAAAAGAGCAAUAACAGGACCUGUUUUGCUAAUCCAGGACUGUUCUCCAGCACUAACUCUAAAUAAUCCCUUCUGCUAGAGUCCACUUUCUGGAACCUGUUGCCUCCGUUUUCAACGUUUCCCAAACUUGGUCCGUUGUGUGAGCUGGCUGAUAAAAGUUCCAGGGAGAAGACAUCUUACUCUUAUUGGAUCAUGCACAGUGCCUGAAGCAUUCUGUUGCAUGUAGAAGUCAGUAAAUUGCAGAUGUAAGAUUCAAAACCAGACUU